rnacentral:rRNA from 1 species
GACGAACGCUGGCGGUGUGCUUAACACAUGCAAGUCGAAUGGUAAGGCCCUUUCGGGGGUACACGAGUGGCGAACGGGUGAGUAACACGUGAGUAACCUGCCCUCAUCUCUGGGAUAACAGUCGGAAACGGUUGCUAAUACUGGAUAUGAGCUUGCAAGGCAUCUUGUGGGUUGGAAAGAUUUUUUUGGUUGGGGAUGGACUCGCGGCCUAUCAGCUUGUUGGUGAGGUAGUGGCUCACCAAGGCUUCGACGGGUAGCCGGCCUGAGAGGGCGACCGGCCACAGUGGGACUGAGAUACGGCCCAAACUCCUACGGGAGGCAGCAGUGGGGAAUAUUGCACAAUGGACGGAAGUCUGAUGCAGCAACGCCGCGUGCGGGAUGACGGCCUUCGGGUUGUAAAACGCUUUCAAUUGUGACGAAGCUUUUUGUGACGGUAGCAGUAGAAGAAGCACCGGCUAACUACGUG